rnacentral:lncRNA from 1 species
UCUUCCCCAAACGGAACUUCCCAUGAAAUCCCUAAUUUUUGUUUUUGUUUAAUAUUUAGCGAAACAACAAUCUUUUGGACCCGAACCCACUAAAAUAAUGCCGAGUCCUCAACAAAUCCAAGAAAAGGAGCAACGACAACGCGAAUACAUACCUGAAAAAGAACCAAACCUAAAACUAAAAAAGAAACUACAAGAAGAAGAAGAAGAAGAAGAAGAAGAAGAAGAAGAAGGGGAAGAGGAAGAAGAAGAGAACAGAGAAGACGAUGAAAACCAAACCCUAAGAAUCGUGGUCGGUGAAUUUUUUUCUUUUUAGCACUGAUUCUGUGCUUAUUGUGGCUUGGAUUUUGGUUGUUGUUUGUGUGUUUUGGUAGGCGUGGUUGUCUUUGGGUCUGAUGAUGGCUUGGGUGACUCAGCCACCAGUGGUUUAGGGAGGUGGUGGAAGUGGGCAAUGGGGUCUCAGGUUGGGGUCGGUUGUUGCGGUCUAGGCAAUGGCCGAAUAUGGUGGGGAUGAAUUGUGGUUGGCUUUGAAUAGGGAUAGGUCUCGGUGGUAUGGUGAUGGGGAUGUUUGGCUCUUCUCUGUUGGGGUUUUGGUGUGUGUAAUAUUAUGAGUGGAGCUGGUUAGGAGGUUUAGGCUGGGUCACUGGCGGUUUUGGUAUGGGAUUCUGAUGGCCGUUUAAGGCAGGAAAGGAUGAUGGUUCCAAGGGUUUGUGAUGGUGUCGGUGGGAAUAGUAAUAACAGUAAAAUUGCUUAGUUGACACUAAAUUGAAGUAAACAGAAGCUCGGGACAAAUUUAAUAUAUUGUAUAGCUUAUAUAUGAAAC